AUCAGCCUCACCUUGGGGACCAGCCCGGGAGCCCCGUGCUCCCAGCUUCGCAAAUACCCGUUCCCAUUGUCCGGUUCUCCCUGGAACACGGAACGCUGUGAAUGCCGCUGAGAACACACACAGACCAGGCAGGGCGCCGUGGGUUCACAGACACGGCCGCUUCACCUUCACGACACAACGGAGCAGAAUGUCCUGGCUCUGGGACUCAGACAGCACUAAAAACAAUAAACCGAUUUUCUGGAAAGUCAACGAUUGAAAAUACCUGUUAUUACCUGCCUCAGCCAGCAGGUAAUCUCUCACCACCAUGGAGAGACUCUCAAUUAUUAAAAGAAAGAAAGGAGAGAAAACGAACUUUAUUUCAAAGAGGCAAAGUCUUUCUUCCAGAAUGAGGACAAAGCUGUUUAGGUGAAAAUUACAUUUGCCACCCCACGUCAGAGUGUUUAUUGAGUGGUGGCCGGGUCAGCCCAAAGAAUGUCAGAGACACAGGACGCUGAAGUAAUGGAUUGAUGGAAUAAUCUACUAAAACUGCUUCCAGAAUGUUCUGUUUGUCUGAAGUCUGAUCCUUUCUUUUUAUUGAGGGAAUGCUAUGGAUGUUUUGUUUUCAGAAUCUCGGGAACUGUUUUAAUAAAGAGCUGUGGGUCACCUAUUCUGUUUAGAGUCACGUAGAGACAACAAUCAUAGGCAAUAGCAGUUGGCUUAGAAUUUAAAAGAAAGCAAAAUAAAAAAGCCCAGAAGAUCAGGUUUCGCCCGUGUCUACCUAUAGAGGGUGAUGUGAAAAUGGAGGUAAUUCAUUGGAUGAAACAAGCAAAAUCCCAGAUAAUUGAGGCAAAACAGGGCAGGGUGACUGUCUCUUCCCGGCCUGAGUCCUUUGGCUGGUUUCCUCCUUUCUGUCUGUGCAGACGCAGCCUGGGCCUCCCGCACGGUAAACGGCGACGCGCACAGCCGCGGAGUCACGGGGGAUUUCUGCCGCUCAGGGGCCGACUGUGUGAUGGGCUGACGGUACCGAGCGUUAGAUGAACGCGAAUGAGUUCUAUUUUGGAACAUCUGACAGAGACGUGGCUUGUAGGAAAGCGAUGUUUUUAAAUAAUAUGUUUCAUGCCGUAUAGUUUCUUUUCAUGAAAACAAUGAGACAAACCAACAAACAAAAGCUGAGGGAAAUUCACCCAGGACAGUGACGCAACCCGUCUGUGAGGGGAAAGACGACACUUCCAGCUAAGAUAAAAAUGCAGCAGCUCACGCUCCAUCUCCGUACGUGGAAAAUAAACCAGCAUCGCUUCAAGGCUGAUGAGACAAAGAUUGGAAAAGGAGGAUUUCCGAUGGAGGUUUUGGCUGGCUGGCUGCAGGGGAGCCUGAAUUGGGGCUGUCUUUGGUUGAAAUUAUGAAACUCAACAUCCAAUGAAGAUUGAAAUAUUUUGCAACUACCCAGACACUGUUCACAGGAUCUUUCGAGCAUCUGGACACCACUGGGUGGAUUUUUUCACUGUCGAGGAAACGUUGUGGUGGAAUAGGAUUAGUGAGGAGGCAGGGCGAGGGAGGGAGAGCCCUCCGUCCGUUGCCGCUGGGGGCUCUGCCGGCAGUGCAGCGUCACGGGAAAGCCCAGCACGCUUUCAGGAUGGGACAGCACAAUUUACUUGGUCUAAUUUGCCAGAGCUGCUUGAAUCUCUCACCGUUUCGUUUUGUAGAUUCCAUUUGCUAUAUUUGGCAAGGGAAUUUCAGCCGACAGGAGGAGACCCAGCCCUGUCCUCAGAGAAGACGCUGUUUUACCCGGAUACAGUGGACGAGGGAGAUGAAAACGGCGGGCAGGCCGUGGGGGCUUUGGAUGGGUUGAAGGUGGCGAUUUACAUAAAGCAUCAGGGCAGUGUGGGCAGUCCAGAGGGGGACGUGUGUGUCUACCGCCGCUAUUGCUCCACUCUCCCUUGUCAGUGUCUACGAGGUGGGCCGGCACUAGCAACCUCUGGCACCUCUGCUGAGUCUGGUGCUUGGGUGGGGGCCGAGCCGCAGCUGCUCUGGUUUUUAUUUAAUGGGACCCACUUUCCAGCUGAUACAAAUGAAAGUAGAAUGAUUGGAAAGCCAGAAGGGUCAGCAGUCCUGCAGGCAUAUGAAGCUUACGUAGUUUUAAGAGUUCCUGGAGUGCAGGCAGGGGUAAUUGUGCCCAGGAAGCUCCCAUGACUCCAGACGUUUUGUGGCCUCCUCCUGGGGAGUCCCCAGGUUGCUCCCAGUGUGGCAGCCCAUCUUUGGAGGCUGCCUCAGGGACAAACAGGCUCCUGGUAUUCUGAGCUGACCAGAGACUGCAGAACUGAUCAAUACUGACGAGCGGGGCUCUGUGCUCCUGAGAAGACCUCCAUGGCGGGGGUGCUGGCAGGGGGCAGGACACGCAGGCCCACACCCAUGACACUUCCAACUUCUCUCCCUGAGUCAAAGCAAACGAUAAUUCAAA
rnacentral:lncRNA from 1 species